rnacentral:tRNA from 1 species
GGUUCUGUGGUGUAAUGGUUAGCACUUUGGACUCUGAAUCCAACGAUCCGAGUUCAAGUCUCGGCAGGACCA